UUUAGGACCCGUACCUUUCUCUUCAAACCCCAAUGUCUGUUUCAUUUUCUUUCUUUUCUUAUCAUUCUGACACACUAAGGUAUUACCACUCAUUUCAGUCCCAGAUAACCUUCUUUAUAACCAUCUUCAUUUAUUAGGUCAAAUGUAAAGAACAACCUGCAGCAAUUGAUUUCUUGCAACCCCCAUCCACUAAAAUAUUUUGCAAUCAGUGUUAGAUAUUAGUGGCUUUCAUGUUGCCACAAAUGAGGACUUUGUCACACCUUGCAAUUAAUGGGGUCAUGUAUUUGAUUGUUCAAUCCAAGUAUUUGUUCUUCUUUGAUAUGAAUAUCAAAUAUGGGCGUUUUGUUUAUUUGAUUAGUCCAAAUUUCGCUUUGAUAUGCAUAUACGAAGUUCCUGACAAUAGCAAAAUGUUCUUCUGCAGGGAUUUUGGAUAACGUGUACAUGUUUCAUGAUGAAUCAGAGCAAAUUGCUGCCUUGGUAGAAGUCUCUUCUCUGGUGCAUGCAAAAAUUAUCGCCCACAGCAACAUUAUUGUUCCUUUUUAAUUAUGAAAUGUAUAUAUACAUUUUACGAGUCUGCAGAUAAACAAGGACCCCACCAUGGGAAGAGCUAGAGCACAGAAAUUACAUGAUUCUCUGUUGACUGAUUGAAGUUUACAGUAUCAUAGACAUAAGGUAUGCAACUCAUGAUGCAUGUGGGAACUCAAGAGAGGUAACGUUGAUUAGGCAAAAAAUAAUCAAUCUAUAGAGCUUAUAAAGCAAUGGGUUCAAGGGAACAAACUAAGUCUCUAUGGAUCUAGCUAGUGCAGAAGAAAUUGUGUUAGCUUGGUUCUCUCUCUCUCUUCUCCUCUAAAAACACUCUCUCAGAGAGAAAGAGAGAGAGAGUGGGAGAGAGUUUGUGUGGAGGUUAGUGCGAGUUUGUGUGUGUUUGUGCCAGUUACACCAGCAUGAUGACUAAAAAGAGCUUUCAGUGCUUUCAUUUCCUCUCCCUGACACCAAGAAAGUUUUGACAGGUCAUUACACUUUCUUUUUUGACCUGCUGCGUCAAAAGAGACUGUACACUCUUUCAUCAAUAACUACUUGUGAUUAAUCCAUAAUUAUCUCCAUAACCCAUAAUUACAAACUUCAUUAUCAUCAAUUUCUUUGAUAGUGACAGACAGUGGGCGUCUACGUAAAUUUACCUUGGGCUAAGGCAACCCCAUUUGUGGGCUAUAAAUGGGGUAGAUUAAAAAUUGUUUAGUGCAUGAAUGUACAAUGGUAGAAGUUGGAGACAGCAUCUGAUUGUGGGUGAUGUAAGCAAGAGAAGUUUGUUGGGGAGUACAAGUAAAUGAAGGCUUGGAUUUUAUGGACAUGCAUGGUGGUGAAUGGUGAUGGCUCUAGUGGAUAUAUUAUAUGUAUAUGUUACUAUGGCUCUUUGUUGUUUUCUAAUAACACUUCCAAGAAAUUUCAUGUAUGUGGCAGCAAAGAAUUGGAGAGAAGUUGUUUGGUAUGGGAGAAAAGAAUGGCACAAGUGUCUUGUUCAAGUUAAAUAAUAGAUGCUGCAUGCCCCAUCCCUUUCUUCUACUUAAGGUUGUGGAAUAUCUGCUCUUCCCAUCCCUCACUUCACAUUAAAAUAAUAUACUUCAAUCUUAAGAAAGAACCACAAAAGAUUGCCUUUUUAGGGUUUGCAAGUGAUUUUUAUAUUAUGUUUAAGAUAGAUUACCAGACAAUAUCUAAUGAUGCAUACUAAAAAGCAG
rnacentral:lncRNA from 1 species